rnacentral:rRNA from 1 species
AUUGAACGCUGGCGGCAGGCCUAACACAUGCAAGUCGAACGAUUGGCGGACGGGUGAGUAAUGUCUGGGAAACUGCCUGAUGGAGGGGGAUAACUACUGGAAACGGUAGCUAAUACCGCAUACCAUCAGAUGUGCCCAGAUGGGCUUAGCUUGUGGGUGGUGUAACGGCUCACCAAGGCGACGAUCCCUCGCUGGUCUGAGAGGAUGACCAGCAACACUGGAACGGAGACACGGUCCAGAGUCCUACGGGAGGCAGCAGUGGGGAAUAUGGCACAAUGGGCGAAAGCCUGAUGAAGCAAGGCGGCGGGGAGGAAGAAGGCCUUCGGGUUGUAAAGUACUUUCAGCGGGGAGGCGUUACCCGCAGAAGAAGCACCGGCUAACUCCGUGCCAGCAGCCGCGGUAAUAC